rnacentral:lncRNA from 1 species
AAAAAACCUGCUGUCUGCCUUGACAGUGCAGGCUCUCUGCAGCCCCUGAUGAAAGCACAAACAGCACAAAAAGGUACCCAGCCAAGUGACUAACUGCUUCAGCUGGGGACCAGCCAGAACUGGGAGUAAACAUUUGGGCUGGAGAUUAGGAAAUCUACACCAUGGAGGAUGUUACAGGCCAUUGUCUGGGAUUCUGCCCCUGGUGUUUAGGAGAGAUGAGGUUACCGCUCAGCAAAGAAGCAAGUCAGAAUGAAUAUGAAAACUGCUGCAAAGAAGUCAAAUUCUUGAAAGCAAGGAAAGAUUGGAAACAUCUACCAAGCUUCCCCAGCCUUCAAAAAUUGGGUGUGCAGGCUGUGGAUAUUCAGGGGCAUCCCACAGAGGUGUGAUCCUGACAGCAGCAGUGACAACAGAAAAUGAACACAUUGGAAUGGGGACAGGCCCAAUCAGCUGGAAUCCCUUUGGUGAGAAAUUGUUUGCCUUAACAAGUUUGGACACUGCAGAAAUUGCCUAAGACUACCAGGAGAACCUGCAUUAAAAAUCACUGUUCAUGAGAAAGUGGCACACAGUUAGAACAACUGUAAGUGUGUAAUAAAUUUCCUGGACAAGUCA